CAACAUGUACUAUUAGAUAAAAAAACACUCAAAUGAAACCAUGUACUGCUGUAGGGUAAAAGAUCACCUUUAUGAAUAUUGUGGAGUCAUGUAUCUUAUAACAAUUAUGUUACUUUACUCUUAUUACUUGUAUAAUCUGUGCACAGCAUGUAAUACAGAUGACCAGCUGAUCAGUGGUAAAUCUAUAUCAGGAUCGACCCAUGCUAGGCUUUCCUUUCACCCCUGGGAUACCCCCUGUAAUACUGGGAUUGACCCAUGCUAGGUGAUUCUUUCACCCCUGGGAUACCACCCAACAGAAGCAACUGUAUACAUAUAUCUUCUUAUUACUUUUGAGAUGAAUCUUUGGUGGUCGUAACAUUUGAGCUAUAAGACUAUAAGCAUGACAAAUGACAAGUAUGUGUCCAUGUAACAUCAUAUCAUAAUGAAAAGAGUGGGUUGUACAAUUAGUGAAACAUGUAGGACAUAAACAACGUAUGAACUUUAUUUAGCUAAAAAGAAGACUCAUAUGUCAUGGUACCCAAUGUAUGUAUGCAGCAGUGACAAUGCUCGAAUCUGGACACACAAGUACAUGUUAAAGAGUGGAGUGGUUAUGUCAAAGUUUGUAAAGAUCUCUAUGUGCCAAUGAAGACUUUGGAUUCCAUGCCAAAUAAUAAGAGAUCGAAUAGCCUUACAUACCUCGACAUAUCAACUUGUUUUUACGUCGAAAUGACUUCUUUUCUUCCAACUAUUUAUCUACAAUAUCAUGUUUUAAAGCUAGUAUUAGCAGCUAAUCAAUGCAUCUGGACAGCCCAAUCUCACAAGACACAACACUUUGGCAACAAACGUAUAACCAUCAACUCAAUGGUGUUAUUCCGACUUUCUCAAUUCUAACUGUAUUCAACCAGCAUAGAUUAUCAUAUACAUGAUGUAUACAGCCUAUAUUAGUUCUAUAACAUGCUGGCAACAGUCCAUAACUACAACACAUAACCAUUUUACAAAACGCUCAACUAAGAAGCACAACAUCUCGUCGUCUCCCUACAUUUCGUCGUUAACAAUUCAUACUUGUCCCAACUUUGAACCAGAUGCUCCCAACAUAUAUAUACAUCAAAUAAACCUUAACAUAGUCACAAAAUAGCUCAAAACGUAGGGGAAACGUGAAACAACAUCCCCCUCAACAAAACAGUCCAAUACCAGUUUGGAAGCACAUAAGAUCAUAUAAGGAUACUUGUUUCCAAAGAACUAGCAAAACAGUCCAGCAACCUUGGCAACCAUAUACACACUAUAACAUGUUAAUAACCUCAACUUUACAUCAUAUUAAAGUGAAAAAUCAGGGUAAAAAUCGUUCCAAAGCCAAGAAAACCAAACAACAACUUUCAGGACACAAGCUGUCCAGAAAUUCCUGCACAGUGAACCAGCCAACUUAUCUUGUUUUCCAUGGAAAAUUCAUAUCAAGUAUAUGGUUAUUUUUACAUACCUUAACUCCCAAGGUGUAGGUCUAAUUCAAGAACUCAAAAAGUAGCCUUUGGUUGCCUUCCAAGGUGAAGAAAUACCAAGAGAAACUUAGAGAGAAAUUCUGAAAUUUUUUGGUCUUUUCUUUGGUUAACCUAGAGCUCGGUUUUGGUCCCUUUUUAAGGAGACUUUAGACCGACUUUCUCCUAAUAUUUGUAGCUGAUUAACUCAAGUUGGUCAAUGACUAAUUUUCCCCUUUCACUUGGGCCUUUUGGAUCUCUAAAUCAAUGGGCUUUAGUGGCCCAUUUCCUUAAUCUUUCUUGCACUUUGUUUGGGCCCAAUUUUGUUAGUAGUGAAUGAAUGUAGUUGGGCCUAUUAUAUAAAAAUUUUGGGCUGAACAUCUUGGCCCAAUAUAAUGUUAAACCAUUGGCUUAAAUAGCCUCCCUAACUUGGGCUUCGUUUGUCACAAGACUUGGAAAGUUUCGGCGUUAAGCCUUGUCUUCGUUCCCCUUUCUUUUUACUAACGUCUAGAUUUCAAGUGAGUUCACUUAUGAAUGAAUUCUUCUCCCUCAUGUAUAUAUAUAAUUUUUAAGCUAAGCACACAGGUAACUCACCUGCUAGCUUCCUAAGUUCCAUAAGCAUGUCAAUGAUUUUCUCCGUUUAAGGCCACAUGUAAAAUGUGGGGUGUUACAUUCAAACACAAAAAGGUUGAGGAAAACAAGCUUCAAACAUCCAUAUAACUCAUCACCAAAACAACCAUAUACAAAUGUUUAUCAAAAUAAUCGCAUAUCGAUAAUGAUGAAGAAUCAAGACUAAGUAAUAAGAAUAGAAUUUCAUGGUGAACCAAUAAAUUCAUGAACUUGAUACCUGAUAGAAAUUUAUUUACCAAUCCAAAUUUUUAGAAUCAAUAACAGCGUAAACUUGGAAGAGAUUCACAUUAAAAAUCAUUUUUUAGAACCUCAUUAUAUUCUUUAUCUGCAAAGACAGUGAAAAUCAACGACAAUGAAACUUAAAAAAAAUUAUAAAUGCAACGCACGGAAUCAAAAUAAGAUGAAGGAGAAGAAAAUGAAAGAAAAAUCGCAAGGAUUUAAUUCAUACCUUUUUUUACGCAAUAAAUUAAGGGGUUCCUCAUAGGAAAUUUGAACUCAAACUCGAACUUGGACUCGCACUCACCCUUAUACUUGAAAAGAGGGUGAGAGUAAUAGUAUACUUUGUUUUAAAUGCUAAUAUGAUAACUUUUUUAUUUCCCCUUUCCUUGUGAAAAAGACUCCCCUUUUCUAGGAAAAAGGGUUGCAACGGUUCUCAAAUGGAAUUCAUGAAUUCAAAUUUGAAUUCUUAGGAAGGCCCCAAAUCACAUGAAUAAUGGAAGCAUAGAAAAGACUAAUUGUUCACCUUUUUCAGCUUGAUGUAAAAAGAGGAAAGGGUUGUUUCAAAGUGGAACACUUGGAACCAUCAGUUUAAGCUCAGAAGUUGUUGAAUCGAAGGAAAAACACCUUGAAUCCAAUGAAUUUUUAAAUUUUCUCCCCUAUCCUGAAUUUGCAGAACUUUAGCUCUGGUUUUGCUUUUAGAAAAGUGAUGGAGAGAGAUAGCUGAUGUAAGAAGAGAUAAAAACAAAGUAAAGGAGAGGGGAGAGGUGGAUACAAUCAGAUUUUUCCAUUAUCUUGUGGUUUGAGCAUCGUUGGCAUCAUUGGUUCGACUAUUGUUGUUAUCGUUGUUUUGAUCAUUGUUUUGUUGCUUAUGUUGUUGUUUUAAUCAGGUAAAUAGGAUAGUAGUAAGGUGGGCUAGAUCAGGGUGUUGUAGUGGGCUGGGGAAGAUUUGGGCUAGGCGUUUUUCUCUUUAUUUUUAGGUUGAUACUUUGAUAAAAAUUAAGGGGUCUGGGUACAUAGGUAACUAGACUAAAUAUAAGGGUUUUAGUUAAGGUUGAAACUUAUUAAAGAAAUUACCUCCAAACGGAUAAGGGAAUUUAUCUAUUUUUUCCAAAUUGAUUUUACUUAACUAAUUUAAUGAUACUUAUUUGUUCUAAUUAGUUUUCCCAAAAGUGUGCGUAUAUAUAUAUAUAUAUAUAUAUAUAUGAAGGAAAAAAUUGAGACUCAGUGAUAUAAUUUCACACAGUGAGAUUUUAAAUAUUUACAUAUGUUAUAUUUUAAAUACGUUUAGCUAAAAUUUGAAAUUAAAUAAAUAAAAUAAAGUAGAGUAAAUUUGUUGGAAAAUAUAAUAAUAUAGCAAGGAUUAUAUUAAUAUGCUAACAUAUAUGUGUUUAUUUAUUUUAGAAAAAGUAGUGAAACAAUAAUCUUAUAAAAUAUUUAUUUAAUUUCCCGAGCAAAUUUAUAAGAUGAGAUAUUAGUAUUUAAUAGUAAAGAUAAGACAAGUAUCAUUUUCAAAAUGUUAACGAUAAAAAUAAGUAAAAAAUAUUGGAAAAGUAUUCAAAAAUACUAAGCAUCGAGAAAUUAAUGUUCUGAAAAAGGAAAGUCAAAAUUGGGUGUCAACACCAUUUAACUUGCAAGCUCAUAAUUAUGUCAUUACAAUUUCAUUAACUUGGGAGAAUGCCUCGACCCCCUUUGUUCACUAAAUCCAAAAAUAGCUAACAAGACCUUCAAAUUCAUGUUCAUUGUCUAACCCUUUAUACAAUGCAUUAGUAUAGGUGUGUAAGUCAAACCAAGAGUAAGUCAAACCAAGAGACAAUUCCACAAUUCAAAGCCAUUUACACAAGUGGGUUGAGAGAAUACAAUUGUUCAAAAAAUUUUCAAGUUCAACAUAUUAAUUUGGGGAUAACCUUGUUCCCCAUUCCAUUUCCCACACCCAUGCAACCUAUUAGUUCAAAAAUAUUCAAUUUAAAGUAUGAACAACUCAUGAAAACCUUGGAAAAACCAUUAAAGGAUGAACCAUUCCAUAACCAUCAACCCAUGUCAUAACCCACAUUUCAAUCCAUACAAUUAGACCAUUUAAAACACAUGCUUUUCUCAAAAUAAGAUUGGGACAGAGUAACAUGCCUGAAAGGAUCACAAUUUUGGACAGAAUUUCCCUUGGAAGCUUUAAAUAAUCAACCUUGAGAGAACCCUAAUGAUCUUGCUUGAGAGAAUUUGAGAUAAGCAAGAAGUUAUUUUGGUGUGUUAUGAAUGGGAAUAGGGUCCCAAUAAGAUUUUAAAGUCAUGGGUCACAUUUAGGAAAAAAGGGAAAUGUCCUAAGUGCCCAUAAUGAAAAACUAAAAAAUUAUCGCCCAGUUGUUACGGGAGAACUUAGGACUCGUAGGGUAACCUCAUGACUCGUGACCUCUAGUCGUAGUCUGGAAAACAUUCAUGGGCACACACAUAGGUCUGGCUAUAAGUCAUACCAUAUGACCUGUAUUUAGAUAUUACGAGUAGUUUGGUCAAAUUCUAGGCCAAAGAGAACAUUUGGGCAUCACACUGGUUUGGCUACAAAUGGGACUAUAUGACUCGUAUAGUGUCUUUAUGACUCUUUAGGAGACAAUCGUAAUCAUAAUAGAAACUUGGCCAAUCAACACUGGUUAGGCUAUUAUUAGGGUCCUACAACCUGUAAUGACAUCCUACGACUCGUAGGGAAAUGAAUUCAAAACACCAACACUCUCCAAAGGAACCAUCAAAGAAGGAUCACCCACACACUUCCUCAACAUUGAAACAUAGAAGACCGGAUGGAUAGAGCCCAACCUAGAUUGAAACUCCAACUCAUAAUCCACAUGGCCCACUCAGCUCAAGACAUGAAAAGGACUAAUAUACUGAGGACUAAGUUUUCACUUCUUUCUAAAAUGCAUUACUCCCUUCAUGGAAGAUACCUUCAAGAAUACCAAAUCAUCCAAAUUAAAUUCCAACUUCCUAUGCCUCACAUCCACAUAGGACUUUUGGCAACUUUGGGUUGCCUUAAGUCUAUUCUGAAUCAUCGUCACCUUUUCCAUGACUUGGUGAACCAUAUCAAGACCGAAUAAACUACCUCACCAACCUCAAACCACCCAAUAGGUGACCUACACCUCCUACUAUAAAGGGUUUCGAAAAGAGAUGUCCCAAUACUAGAGUGAAACUAUUAUUAUACGCAAACUUUAUUAGAGGCAAAUAAUCAACCCAACUAUGAACAAAGUCAAUCACACAUGGACUUAUCAUAUCCUUCAAUAUCUGAAUAGUCCUCUCCAUUUGUCCAUCCAUUUGAGGGUAGAAAGCAGUGCUAAGGCUCACUUUAGUUUCCACACCUCUCUUAAAAGAAUGCCAAUAAUAAGAUAGGGACUGUGUUCCACGAUCAGAUAUGAUAGAAAUUAGGGCACCAUGAAACUUGAUGAUUUUUUGAGUGAAAAGCUUUGCAUAAUCCUCUAUCGAAUAAGUAGUCUUACUGGCAAGAAGUAGGAAGACUUAAUUUUCCUAUCGAUGAUGACCCAAGUUUAAUCAAACUAAUUCUGAGAUCAUAAAAGACUGAUAAUAAAAUCCAUAUUAAUCACCUUCCACUUCUACAUAGGCAAACUCAAUUUCUUGAAACAACCCACCAGGCUUCAACUGCUCCACCUUCACUUGAUGACUCACCAUGAACUUAGCCGUAAAAUUUGCCAUAUCCUGCUUCAUGUUAUUCCACCAAUAGAUCUCUUUAAAAUGGUACAUCUUUGUUGAACCUGGAUGAGCAGUGUACCUCAACUCAUGUGCAUCGGCUAAGAUCCUCUGACGCAUCCCAUCAACAUCGGGAACACACAGUCUACCUUGGUACCUUAAGAUACCAUCACCACCAAUAUCAAAAGCCAUCACCUUAUGUGACCCAUUUCAUCCUUGAUUUUUACCAGAAUAGGAUCCGAAACCUACUUCUCCUUCACCUCGGUACCCAGUGAGGACUUCACCAUCUCUUGAAAAAUCACACCACUAUCCUCAGAGUACAAAAGAUGAACUUUAUGCCAAAUGGUGAAUAUCCUUCACCAGCCCUCACCUCUCCUUAUAAACAUAAGAUAAGCUCCCCGUAGAUAACCUACUAAGAUCAUCAACAACUAUGUUAGCUUUACUUGUAUGAUAAUGGAGAUUCAUAUCAUAGUCCUUGCGCAACUCAAGAUAUUUUUUUCCUUAAGAUUCAACUCCUUCUGGGAAAAUACAAACUGUAAGCUCUUGUGGCCUAUGAAGAUAUCAACGUGAACCCAAUAUGGGUAAUGAUGCCAAAUAUUUAAAGCGAAGACUACCACAAAUAACUCAAAAUCAUGAGUCAGAUAGUUCUUCUCAUGUACCUUUAGCUGCCUAGAAGAAUAUGCCACAACCUUUCCCCAUUGCAUCAAUACACAACCCAGUCCUACACGAGACACAUCACAAUAAGUAACAAAGUCAUCGGUAACCUCGAGUAGGGUUAAAAUAGGAGCAAAAGUUAACUUAUUUUUUAACUUCUCAAAACUACCCUCGAAAGCACUAGAUCAUAAAAAUUUCUUCUUUUUCUGAGUCAAUCUAGCCAACGGGGCAACAAUCAAACAGAAAAUUUCCACAAACCUUCUAUAAUAACUGGCCAAGCCCAAAAAGCUCUGAAUAUCAAUUCGAGUCAUGGGUCUAGACCACUUCUUAACCACCACAACAUUUUGUAGAUUCACCAUGAUCCCUUCACUAGAAACAACAUAACCCAAAAUAGAAAGAGCAUUCAACCAAAACUCACACUUCAAAAAAUUAGCAUACAAAUGUUGAUCCAUAAGAGUCUAUAAUACUAUUGGAGGUAAUCAACAUGAUCUUCGUUGCUCUUAGAAUAUACCAGGAUGUCAUCAAUAAACAUAAUGAUGAACAAGUCCAAAAAUUAACAAAAUACCUAUUUCGUAAGAUCCAUGAAUGCCAUCGGUGCAUCAGUCAAACCAAAGAACAUAACCAAAUACCUAAAAUGACUAUACUAGGUUUGAAAAGUAGACUUAGGGAUAUCCACCUCCCUAAUCUUCAAUUGAUGAUAACCCGACCAAAGGUCUAUCUUUGAAAAGUACUUUUCACCCUAUAUUUGAUUAAAUAGGUCAUCAAUCCUAGGAAUAGGAUACUUAUUAUUCACUGUUUCCUUAUUUAAUUAGUGGUAAUCUAUUCACAUUUAAAGGGACUAGUCCUUCUUAAUCACAAAGAGUACCGGCACAUGCCACAGUGAAAUACCAAGGAUAAUAAAACCCUUAUCAAGAAGACUUUCAACUACUCCUUAUGUUUUUUCAACUCAGUCAGAGCUAUUCUAAUGGGAAGGAUAGAGAGAGGAUGUGUUUGAAAGAAGAUCAAUCCUAAAAUCAAUUUCCCUAUUAGGAAGGAUACCAGGAAAAUCAUUAGUAAAUACUUCGAGAAACUUAUUGACUAUUAGAAUGGAUGUAAAGGAAGGACCCUCAGAAUUAAAAUCUUUAACUCAAACCAAGUGACAUAGACACCUUUUGGAAAUCAACUUCUAAGCUCUAAGAUAAGAUUUGAACCUUCCUUUAGGCCCAAGGGAACUUCCUUCCUACUUAAUCAUCUAUUCAUUGAGGAAUUGGAAACUGAACCUUUAGGUCCUAAAAUCAAGAGAUGCAUAGCACAAAUGAACCCAAUCCAUCCCUAGAUAACAUUAAAAUCUAACAUCUUAAACAUUAUUAAAUUUACCAAUGUCUCCCUAUCACAGAUAGAUACUACAUAAUUUACACUCUUCUAGUCAUAAUAGAGUCAUCCACUGGGGUAAACACAAAAGAGGGAUCAGGAAUACACUCAGAACCAAAACCAAAAUAAAUAUCCACAUAAGGGGUCCCAUAAGAAAAGGUACACCCAGGAUCGAGCAGACAAUACACAUCAUGAGAGAAAAGUUUUAGCAUACUAGUAACAACAUCAGGAGAUGCCUCAGAGUCCUAACGAGUGGCAAGAGCAUACAAAUAUUUUUGACCAAUGUCAGAUCCAGAAGACCUUUUGUAGUAGGAGCUGAAGAAGUAGCAGGCAGUACCUUAUUAGCACCAGUAGAAACAUCGCCGGAGGGAUAGUUUCUCUAAAUAUAUCUAGGCUGGCCACAUCUAAAACACUUAUUUAUCCCCUCAUCACAAAAACCACGAUGCAACUAACAAUAAAAUCUACAAAAAGGAUAUGAUGAAGAUGACUGGGCCCUACUGGCUUGAGAUUAGGUACCUUCUGCUUGAAACCCUUUGUUUCUCUAAAAGUGACAAUCACCGAAUAGUUUAGGAUAUGGAGCACUAACCAUAGAAUAAUAACAAAAAUUUCCCCACUUUUUCUUAUAUGAUUGCCUACCAUCUAUACCACUAUUCUAUUGGUCUCCACACUACUUAGAAUACUUGGGCCUCUUACCUUUCAUUUCCCCUAUUUCAACUUGUUUCUUCUUUUCAUCUUCAUCCUACUAUAUAUACACCACAAACAUAUAGAUAUCUAUGUCACUAUUCAAUAAUGUGGCUUUGUACUCUAUUACCAAGUCUGAGAAAGGCUUGAAUGAAACUCUUUCAUCAUAGCCCUCAUGCUUGAUACUAUCAUAGGAGAAUAACGGGAAAAGUGAUGAAAUUUCAAGGCAUACUAUUUUAUGAACAUCCUGCUCUAUUUCAGAUUCAUAAACUCCUCAGCAUUAGCGUUCCUUAACACAUAAGAAAAUAAAUAAUCCAAGAAGGUACUAGAAAACUCAUCCCAUAGUACGAACAUAAAAAUACUACCCCUAGAUUUAUCCCACUCCUAAUACCACUAAUACACCACAUCCUUCAAUUGAUAUGCAGCAAAUUCCAUGCCCUUGAAGUUAGAAGCAUGCAUAACCCUAAAUAUCUUCUCCAUCUCAUGUAUAAACCCUUAGGAAUCCUACUCAACCUUAGAGCUAGUAAAGGUCUAAGGAUUGAGCCUCAUAUACUAUCCCACUUGAGUAACCUUAGAAGAACUCUGGCAGUACCAGUAGGACCCAACUAACUAGUUUGAGAUAUCAUUAAUUAAGUUAAUAGAUGAAUAGAUCGACAAAACUCAACAUUUGAAAUAUCUUCUUAGGGGGCGGGGCAUGAUCAUCAUCAAUCUAAAGAGAUUGAGGAGGAUAGGUAGGGAUAGGUAAAACUUCAAGUAAGGUAGUAUAAUCAGGAGCUGUAGCCCUAGACUAGGUGUAAACUCUAUAUGAAGGACGAGUUCCAUUCAUAUUGUCCUCAUGUGGGAUAUAAGAGGUUCCACAGGCAUCAGUUCUUCUAGGAGGCAUGAUUUGAAAUAUGAAAAAAAUCAGAAUUAGAGGAUAUUUCAACACCCUAGAUUCUAUAGCCCAAAAUUAGAACAAGAAAAGGAAAUAUUUCUAAAUAUCUCAUAGCCUCUCCCUUAUAAGUGUGAUUGUUGCACACUCAUGAAAGAUACUCUACAUGAUAUGGAUUUGUAGACACCCAAUUAACCAUGAACCUAGGCUCUAAUACCAACUUUGUCAUGACCCAAACCAAGGCCUGUCUAUGAUAGGUAUCUCAAGUCCAUAGAGGACUAGAGACUACCUCCUUUGCCUAGCCAAAUAGAACAUAAUACACUUGUUAGCAGAUGAAUUCCAAAUAUUUAACAAUAUAGAGUAAACAAUAACUCAAAGUUUGAGCAUGUCAAUAACCAAUACCCAGUCCAAAGUAAUCCAUAAAGACUCUUACCUAGAAAAUAACCUACGUCAGUUCAUGACCCCGACCUUAACAAUGAUAAUGAAAAUGACAAAGUAAAUGUAAAGUCUUCAAUUCUAAUUUAUGAAAGAAAAAUUGAUGGAAUAAUCAAGUCUUCCAUAGAAUGGAAGCUCACCAUUUCACCACAAAUACCCGACUUUAAGAUCACCUAUUACUAUAAGGAAAAAGUAGAAGUUCCUUUGGACCUUGCAUCACGUGCAGAUAGAAUAUCCAAAGAUUGUUAGAAGGAUGAGAAAUAGUAUGUAACUCAGGAUAAAGAUAAAGUAGUGCGGAUCAAAAGUUUGAUUUAAAUCUCACUGUACAUGUUCAAAUUUAUGCAUACACAUACAUAUUUAUAGUAAAUACUAGGGUUGGUAACAUGGUUUAUCAUGAUAGAAAAACAUUAUCCAAGACUAUGUAUCUUAACCGUCAUAAACAGGCACUCACGGACCAUAUGGAUUUAGCUUCCACUACUAAAAGGGCCCAAUACGUGUUAGCCACAUGAACUAGAGGUAUCAAGAAAUACCACGGAAUUCCUCAAUCCUAAGUCAAUCCUAGAGACAAAAUAUAUCAAUAGUGUGAAUCAUGCAUAUGGUCAUCUAGACCAAUACUCACAUCAACAAAUAUGAGUUUCUAGUAUGUGUCAUUCUAGACCCAUAAUUCAUGACUUAGCUACAUAACCCCUAUUAAGCUAAAAUAAAAACAACUUUCACAUAACCCAUUCAUUAACCAAGGAAUAAUACAUUAAGGCGCACUAUGGUAUUGUUAUACAAUUUGUCUUAGAAGCUAAUAAUUAUACCAUUACAAUUCCAUUAACUUGGGGGAAAGCCUUGACCCAUUUUGUUCAUUAAAUCCUAACAUAACUAACAAGGCCUUAGAAUUCCAUGCUUAUUACUUAAACCUUUAUACAAUGCAUUAGUAUUAGUGCUUAAGUCAAACCAAGAGACAAUUCUACAGUUGAAAGCCAUUUACAUAAGUGGGCUAAGGGAAUACAAUUUUUUAAAACUAAUUUCCAAGUUCAAAACAUCAAUUUGGCAGAUUACCUCCCCCUCAUUCUGAUUCCCACACCCGUGCACCCUAUUAGUUAAAAAAUAUUCCAUUUAAAGCAUGAAUGACUUAUAUAAACCAUUCAAGGAUGAACAAUUCCAAAACUCUCAACCCAUGUCAAAAUCCAUAUUCAAAUCCAUAUAAUUAGAUAGUUUAAAAUACAUUCUUUUCAUAAAAUAAGAUUUGGAGAAGAGAAACAUGCCUGAAAGGAUCUUAAUUUUUGAGGGAAUUUUCCUUUGAAAGCUUUAGAAGAUCAACCUCGAGAAAACCCUAAUGUUGUUACUUGAGAGAAUUUCUGAAAAGAGAAAAGUUAUUUUGGUAUGUUAUGAAUGGGAAUGAGCUCCUAAUAAGAUUGUAAAGUCAUGGCAUAUAUUAGGGGAAAAGAGUAGAUGUCCAAAGUGCCCUUAAUGAAAUACUAAAAAAUUGUUGCCCAAUCAUUACCAACAACCUUAUAACUUGUAGGGUCACCUCAGGACUCAUGACCUUUAGUCGUAGUCAAGACAGCAUCCAUGGGUACCCAUAUUGGUCUGGAUUUGAGUCAUACCAUAUGACUCAACUCAAACAUUACGACUCGUUUGGUCAGAUUGUAGGCUAGACAAAACAUUAGGGCAUCAUAAUGGUUUGGCUACAAAUAAGAAUACACGACUCGUACAGACUCUUUACUACUUGUUAGUAUCCAAACAUAAUAAUUAAAAAAACUUGGCCAAUCCAUAUUGGUUAGGCUAUUAUUAGGGUCCUACGAUGCAUAAUGAAACCCUAUGACUUAUAGGGAGAGUCAUAGUCUGGCAGUAAGCUCAUAGGUCAAGAAAUUUUCAUAGACCAAAAUUUAACGUGUUUCAUCCAGUUUGUCGACUUGUAGGAGUUUAUUAAUUGAUCACAUCCAGUGAUCACCCUAUCAUUAUAUAAACAUUAUAUAUAGACGUCUGGUGAGACAACCCCUAGUAAUUUUGAAAGAGACUUCUUAUGAUCAAUGGUAUGAUUAUACCUUCAUACCACAAUUAUAAAAAGUCUUAUUAAAACACCCUGGGUUUUUUAAACUUAUAAAAUUUUUGACUUUGAGCUUACUGGACAUCAUACCUCUUGAGGUACUAGUUUUAUGAUGUGGUUUGAAUUAGGGACCUUAACUAAUAAAUUUCACGUUGUGUUAUAUAUCACUUACUGUCCAAGGUACGACAAGGUAUGUUGCCGAUCAUAUGAUAGGGUACUAGAAGUAAAGAGCCAAAUCGUAUGAUUCUCUAAGUCUUGUGCAAAGUAUUAUUACUAAGAUACGAUUCAAAGGUUACUGAUUAUAUGUUAAGAUAUGAGUUGGACCUUUUAUGGUCGUAUGUUGGAAGUAUUGAGGUCCAAAAGGAUACCUAGGGUACGAGACAAGGUUACUACUCGUACCCUAGGGUAUGGUUUAAGGGGCGUGGUCUUACCCUCCUACAGUCAAGUUUUUUAGCUUUUAAGAUGACGGUAUUUUAAACAUUUCCCACCCCAAACCCUUAUGUCCCCAUAUAAUAUAACUUAUUUUGGCCUCUCAUAACAUACUGGAAAAGAUCAAAACACUCCAAAAUUCUUUCUAAACUCCAUCUUGAAUAUUGAAAGCUAAGGUUCUUCAAAGGUGUUCAUCUAGAGACUCAAGAUUCAAGUUUCUUCCAUGAAUCUUCAUGAAUAAGGCAUGUGACUCUUACCUCAUUGUCAGUUAUAAAACAUCAUGUGUCUUAAAGUGUGAUUAUGAUUCUUAAAUGGAGGUUUUGAAAACCAAAAUUGAGGGUUUUUUUGCAUAUAAUUGAGCAAUGUACUAUUGGUUUAACUUGAGUUUAUACAUUUUUUUUAUGGUAUGCAUCUGUGGGUUCUUGGAAAUUAUAGUUUAACAAAUGGGUCAUGGUUUAACCUAAACUUGAUGGUUUUUACCUUGAUUUUGGCCAUUGUAAUAGUAUGCCCUCAAAGUGUUUGUGAAAAUUCCAAAAAGAAUAAACUAGUCAUAUGUUAAUGAUGUUUUAAUCUAAGACAUUGAACUAAUAAAUAUAAAUUUUUGGUAAAUAGUUUUGUGAAUGCUUGGUUGGCCAUUUAAUAAUCUAAAUGGUAACCAUAGUGGUUUAUAUUGUUGAAUGGGUUUGAGUCCCUAAAUAUUAACUUGAUAUAUGUCUUUGUUAGAUAAUGGAUUUGAGUCCCUAAACUUUGAAUUGAAUAAGUGUCUUUGUUAGAUGAUUGGUUCAAUUCCCAAUAUUAAUUGAAUGGAUGGUUGAUUGAUAAUCGUAAUGGCAUGUGGUGUACUUGCAAAUAGCAUUGGUAUGACGAUACCAACGAAGUGCCUUUGGUAAGUAAUUGGCUAACUAUUUGCGUAUAUGAAAUGAUGGUUUAAAUUAGCUUUAAAGAGAGUUGUGUAGCUGAGUUAUGAAGGUGUAGAUUCUUAAAGAUCAAUACUGGAAAUAGAGUUUACCAACAUAGAGGUAAAAACGGCCUGAGGUUUGAGUUCUUUUGUAUAAUAUGAUUGGGAGGUUAAAAUCUUCCAUAUUAUAUGAUGUGGGAAGUUUGAGUCCCCUAUAUCUUACUAUACUACAUGAUCGGGUGAUCAAGUCACUUUAGUAUAUAAGUGGGAGGUUUUAGUCCACCAUGUUAUGAGUAAGAUUAUUCUCCAGUCUGUGCGGCUAUAGGAAUUAGUUCCUGAUCUGGGGUAAGAACUUGAACCCAUAUAGCCCAUGGGUGUAACCAAUAUGAUAUCUAAGAUUUACAACCCAGGCUAAGAUUUUAAAGAUUUAUUUUAAACCAUGUUCCCUAUCCCAACAUGAUAUAUAUAUAUAUAUAUAUUGCAUUGGUUAUAUGUAAUGGUUGAAUUGAUUUAAACUAUUGGCAUUAUUUUAUCCUUAUCCUUGAGUUAUAUGCUAUCGCUCCAACCUCUAAUAAUUUUCAAUGUUGUAUCCCCAUGCAAUAUAGGUAUUAGUAAUACUUCACCUGCUACUAGAAAUUAGACUCAGGAUCAGCUCAUGUUGACUUGGAGUGGAGAUCUUUCAUACUUCAUAAGUCUCUGUUUCUAGUUUUAGUUUUCAUAUGUAUUUAUUGGUUUAGACUUGAACAUCGGUAUUGGCUAUGGUCAGGGGCAUAUCCUGAUCGGAUGUUGUUUUAAUUUUUGAUAUAGGCUCUAUGAAACUACUUUGGGUUUGUACGGGUAGUGUUGAUAAUGGUGUCAUCCUUAGCAUUGGUAUUGGUAUUGGGGUUGGGGUUGACACUAUAUGAAUGUAUUUGAUUUUUGAUUGUUCCCUUUUGUUAUGGUAUUGAUAUAGACUUAGUUAUUAUUUUUGUUAUGUUAUAGUUGAUUGGUUGGGCAUUGGAUGGUAAGACUUGCUUGUGUUAGUCAUGGUCAUAGACCUAUCCUAAUGUUUGUGUGUUGUUAAUUAGUCUAUCUUGUUAUAUGUUUAAAAUUCAUCUAACCAAGGGUGUAUGUUGGUUGGUUGGAUUGGGUAGCAAGGUGGUCUCCAGUUCUUGCUGGGCUUAAGAUGCCUAUUAUGACAAGGCCCUUUUUUGGGUCUUGUAAAGUUGGUUUCAUAGCCAAGAAUCAUGUCAUGAGGUGUCCACAAAGCCGUGUCAAGUAGUGUCUUGCUUAUGGGUGUGUUGUGCACCACACUUAUAAGUAGGAGGCUACGAGGCAUUUAGGAAUAUCUCACUUUCUUAUUGUUCCUUUUUGAUCCAUAGAGACUAAAGUCUCGAAUCUCUCUAAUUUUUGCUUGUUUGUCAUUUAGAUCAUGCCUUCAAGGAAAUUUAAAACUUGUGGGAAUGCUUCUAUCCCUACUAAGGAAAAUGUGAAUAGAUCUCAUCUACCCAUAGGAUACAGACCCGAUAUAGGGUCGCUACUUUUGAUCUGCCUCAUAUAGUCUUACUGGUCCCUACUAAUCCUUCUUCAGGAGGGAACAUCUCUGCUCAAUCAGCUCAAGGAGGCAUUGCAAAAAUGGAGUUUCUUUAUUUUAUUAAGUUGCUGGCCCAAAUUAUUAUCUCUUUGUGUCACCAUUCUAGUUUAGUGGGUGGGAGAAGAGGCCAGAAUAUGAUGGGGGAAGGGUAGAACAAGAAGAGAUAUUUAGAGCAGGAGGGUUCAUUGCAAUAAAAGUAGUCAUAUGAGACAAUAGACUAAGAAAGAGAGUUAGGGAAAUCUGGUUCUUACCCAUCGACUUGAGCCCCUUACUAUAGCCUAUCGGGUGAAUGUAAAUUUUAAAAAAGUAGUGGUCCUAGGGUACGAUGUGCCUAAUACUAGUCUAAUGGAGCAUAAUUAGUUCCACUAUAUUCUCUUUAUCAGUUCUGCGACCAGUUACAUUGAGGGUUCUAUCAUAAAAGAAAGAAUUAUUGCUUUAGUUAUGGUCAUAUUGGUCAUAUUAAAGGAAUUGUCCUUCUAGGAUUUUUUUUGGGGCCAACAAGGUUACUAUUGCCUCUUCAUCAGAUCCGAUAGUAAAGGGUGCCACUUCUGGCUCUGAUACUGGUUGGAACCACUUUGAUGCUCUCACUACUCACCCGGAGUCCAAAGUAUCUCUUAAUGUUUUCCUUGGUAUGUCAAAACUCUUCUCCCAUGAUAUGAUGUGUUAUUAUUGACUUGAUUUAGGGUCCACCAUAUCUUAUGUGGCCCCAUUUGCGACUGUGUAUUUUGGCUUUGGUCCUGACUUUAUUCCUGAUCCUUUUUUUUAUCUACCCUAAUUUGUAACUCUGUGAUUUCUAAAAGAGUCUAUAGGGGUGUGUCUGGUAUAUGUUGGUGGUAGAUAAACUCUUGUGGGAUUAAUGGAAGUUAGAUAUGUUUGACUUUGAUGUAAUAUUAGGGAUGAAUUGGUUGCAUUCGCGUUAUGCUUUCUUAUAUUGUCAGACCCGUACGAUCAUGUUUAAAUUCCUAAAUAAGCUGAUCAUUGAAUGAGAAAAUGAUUCUUUAGUUCCUAAGGAAAGGUUUAUCUUAUUUCUUAGAGCCUAAAAUUUAAUUUCCAAAAAGUUUUUUAUAUUAUUUGGUCCGGGUUAAAGAUUCUAAAUCAGAAGGUCCUUUUUUAAAAAACUCAUUCCCGUGGUUAUGAUUUUCUUGAGGUUUUUGCUGAUAAUUAUCCUAGUGUUCCUCUCGAUUGGUAAAUUACUUUUGGGAUUGAUCUUGUUUUAAAUAGUCUUCCUAUUUUUGUCCCUCUCUAUAGAAUGGACUCUUAGUAAGGGUUUUAUCCAUCCAAGUAUGUCCUCAUAGGGUGCACCGGUGUUUGUGCAUAAGUAAGAUGGGUUUCUUUAGAUAUGUACAAGCUGUUGUCAAUGGUAUAAGAAAUGUGGAAUGAUCUCUCUGUUGGGUAGACUGGUGUGUGUUGUGGUUGUUUUGUGGGUGAUACUUUAUCGUUGUUAAAUACAAAGAUUGAGAUUUCAAUGCUAAUUGUGGUGAUAUGAAUGUUAAUUUGAGAAUAGUGAUGCAAGGUUCAUGGAAGUUAAUUAGUAUGGUGUUACAAAAUGUAAGAUAUCUUGGGUGAUGCCUUUUAAAAUAGUAGGAUAUGUAAUUAGGAAUUAGGCAGGAGGUCUAAGUGUUGAAGUAGAAGUGGCGGCUAAAUCUUACAUAGAUAAGAGCCUUAGGUAGCAAGAGUAAUAUAUACUCAGUUCUGAGAUAAGGGUGCCGUGUAUGCCUAGCUUAUGCCCAUUAAGAAUUCUUAGCAUAGGAAGUCUAUGGAAUUGUUACCAGGUGUUAGGUAAAACUGAAGUAGGGUAGAGUAGAUAACCGAUGUGAACUCUUGAUAUAUGUUCAAAACUUUUCAAGGAAUAAAGAUUUGAUAUUAGAGGAGUAACGCUAGUGUUCUAAGGAUUGAAAAUGGAGUAUUUAGAAACAUAGAUGUAUAUACCCCUAAUUAGUUGUUGUAAGGUGAUAAUUGUAGAGAUUACUGGAUCUUUGGUGGGGUAGACUGUGUAAUGGUCAUAGCAAAGGUAGGCUUGAACAUUUUGAAUCAAAGAUAUGAUAGUCAUGGUUUUGAGACGUUAGAACCUUGAUGGGAUGCGUUGUUUGACUAUAAUGAUGGGCAAAAUAGUAAUUUUGAAGGAUGUAAGGAAUAGAGCCUCAUAGCCUAAAUAAACCUCUUUUAGCUUUGAUUUUAAUAGGCUUAAGCAUGAGAGAAAUGUAUAGAUAGACUCAGGCUCUCAUAGUGGUAUAUCUAUGGGGAAUCAUACGGUUGAAUUGGUGAUACAAUAUUAUAGGUUGAGGACUGAAGGUGAAGGUUAUUUUGGAUAGUCUUAAGGUCGCCCAAAGUCGGCAAAAGUCCUAUACGGAUGUGAGGUAAAGUGACAUGGAGUUUGAGGUUGGGUAUUGGGUGUUCUUGAAGGUGUAUCCAAUGAAAAGAGUAAUGAGUUUUUAUAGGGAGAGGAUGUUGAGUAUUCACUAUAUUGGUCCGUACUUGUCGGUGGAGAAGGUUCGUAAUGUUUCCUUCUAGUUUGAUCUUCAUUUGUUCGGUUUUCUAUGUCACUAUAUUAAGAAAGUGUAUAGAUAAUCCAUCAUCGGUUGUUCCUUUGGAAGGGUUGGGUAUCCUAGAUUCCUCAUCUUAUUAGGUAGUACCAAUUAAGAUCUUGGAUUGGCAAGUUUGCUGGUUACAAAUAAAAGGUGUGUCUUUGGAAAAGGGUCCACGGAAAACUCAAAAGUCCAAGAAAGCUACUUGAAAAGCGGAGAAGGACAUGAAGUCCAAGUAUCCAAAUUUGUUCCCCAUUCAGAAUACUCACGUGUAAGGUAUGUGUACUUCAUCAUAUCUUUGUUUUCUAACUUGGUUAAAGGUUAGUUUUAUGUGUAAUAAUGUGUAAACUCGUGCUAGUGCUUUCCUAUACCCAUCAUUCGACGAUGAAUGAUCUAAGUGGGGGAGACUGAAAUACCUCGGGUUUUUGACCCUUAGAAAUUUUUUAACUUUGAGGUCACUAGACAUCAUAUGACUUUGGGUACUAGUCGUAUGAUGUGCUAUGACUUAGGGACACUAACUUGUAUGUUUCACAUUGUGUUUUAUGUUACUUAUAGUCUAAGUUACGACUAGGCAUCUAAUGAGUGGUGAGUUUACCACUCAUUCACACUCGUUAUCCAUGCAUAUUACUUUUUUUAUUGAAUAAAUGAGACAAUAUAUAUGGAUAGAUGAACUAAUAUCCAUUAUUUGUAAGGAUAAAGUUGAGGAGACCAAAUGAUAUAGAUUGGAGCUAAAAAUGACAAAAAGGGAACAAGAAAGAGUGAAGAUAAAAACCUGGACUACAUCAGUGUCAUUUACCACGACCGCGCCCUCUAUCUGUGAUCGUGGUCAGUCGAGACAGUCAGUGUAAUAGGGUCGUAGCACACAACUUCGGUAUCAUGGUCGCAGUUGUGGACAGCCGUGCAUAAUCGCGGUUAAGUGGGAAGGUGCCCCUGGGCAGAUCUAUAAAAGCACUUGGAUGCAUCCCAAUCCAUAUUUAAGAUAAAACCCUUUCUUUUUUAGGAGAGCUUAACUCAUAAGAUAUUUUGGAAUUCAAGACUUGCAACCCUAAUCUUGGGCAAGUGUGCAAUUAACUUUGAAGGCUAAAUUUCUUAGACUUUUUAUGAAGAAUGAAUGCUUUUGAUAAUCCAUAUGGUAUAUCUCUCUUUACUUUCUUCCUGAGUAGCUAAGUAAUUUAUUCUUGAGAUUAUGUUGAACUAAAGUGUAAUUGUGUAUGAGUAUUGUUGUGUUUGCAUGGAUUUUAGUUAUUGAGUAUGGAUUCCACUAUUGCUUGAUCUUAUGGGUUGGAAUUUGAAGGGAGAAAACCCCAAUAUCUCCAAAUGGGUUUGAUAGGUGAAAACCCCAAACUCUAGAAACCCUUAAUCAUCCAUAAAAAAGGGAUGAAGGUGAACAUUAGGUAACUCAUAACAUUCUCGAAAGAGGUUAUAGGGGGGCAAAUUAAUGGUGGAAAAUUGAUCCUAUGUUUUACUACCUUUUGUAAUCAUAGAACUAAGUGUAUUAGGAGUGUAAAUCAUUUCUUGAGCAUCAUCCUAAAAUUAGGGAUGCUUGACUAAGGUCUUGGGUGAUUAUAAAAAUAUGUACACUUGUUAGGUGCUCGAAAGAGCCAAUAGGUAAAAUCGUUGUGAUUUUGUUGAAAGAUUGACCCUAAUGAACUUCGACCUAGCCUAUCCUUUAUUCAACACCUAAAUUUUAGGAUAACCCAAUAUCAACCCACAUGCAUUACCUCUAAGUAGACAUAAUCCCAAGAUUUCCCUCAAAUCUUGAAUUCUUAUUAGAAGUUUAAUUCACCAAGCGCUUGUUAAAGUUAGUUGUGAAGAAUUCCCAAGAUAAUCCCCCCGUUUUAUUUUACAUUUUAUUUUUAUUAAAAUUUUGGGUAAUCUCUUAGUAAUUUGAGUAUCAUAGGGUUUGAGGUUUACAGUUCACUCCUCAAGAUUAGACGCCAAUUUAAAUUGGGUUACUUGACAAUGACUACCUCACCCCUAAUUAUAGGAGUGAGUUGAGUGUUAUCAAUAUCUUACUGGUUGUAUUAUAGGGUACUAGAAGUAAAGAGAAAAAUCAUAUGAUGCCCUAAGUCUUUUCCAAAGUAUUCUGAAAUAGCUCUGAUUCAAAGGGUACUAGUAGUAUGUUAAGAUAUAAUUUGGCCCUUGUGUUGUCAUAUGUUGGUCAGUAUUGAACUCCAAAUGGAUGCCUGGGGUAUGAGAUAAGGGUACCAUUUGUACCUUAGUGUAUGGUUUAAUGUGUGUCGUCGUACCCCCCUGAAGUCAAGUUUUCAGCUUUUAAGAUGAGGAGAUUAUGUUAGACAUUUUCCACAUCAAAACCCUUAAUUUCCCAUCUCUAAUAACUCAUUGUGUCCUCUCAUAACAUAAUGGAAAAGAUCAAAGCACUCCAAAAUCUUCACUAAACUCUCUUUUGAAGAUUGGGGUCUAGGGUUCUUCCAAAAUGUUCAUCUAGAGACUCAAGAGUCAAGUUUCUUUCGUGAAUCUUCACGAAUAAGGCAUAUGACUCUUCCCUCAUUGUUAGUUCUUAAUUAUCAUGUGUUUUAAAGUGCGAUUAUGAUUCUUAAAUGGUUGUUUUAAAAACAAAAAUUGAUGGUUUUAUUGCAUAUGAUUGAGUAAUGUUUACUAUUGGUUUAACUUCUGUUUAUACAUGUUUUUGGUGAUGGCUUGUAUAUGUGGGUGCUUGGUAAUUAUGGUUUAAAAAAUAGGUUUUCGGUUACCCUAAACUUAAUUGUUUUUACCUUGAUUUUGGCGUUGCUAACAGUAUGCCCUUAAAGUGUUUCUGAAAAUGCAUAAAAGAAUGAACUAGUCACAUGUUAAUGAUGUUUUGAAAUAAGGCAUUGGACUAAAGGCCUUAUUGGCAAGGUAAUGAUAUAAAUGAUAACGUUGGUGGUUUGUAUUGUUAAAUGGUUUGACUUCCUAAAUAUUAACUUGAUUUAUGUCUUUGUUAGACAUUAGGUUUGAGUCCCUAAACUUUGAAUUAAAAAAGUUUAUUUGUUAAAUAAUGGGUUUGAGUCCCAAAGUCAAAUAAAUAGUUGGUUUAUUGAUAGUGGUAAUGGCCUGUGGUAUACUUUUAGGUAGUGUUGGUACGAUGAUACCAACAACGCACCUUCGAUAAGCAAUUGGCUAAAUAUUUAUGUAUGUGAAUGAUGGUUUAAAUUAGGCUUUAAAUAGGAUUAUGUAACCGAGUUGUGAAGGUGUAUAUUCUUAGGGAUCAACAAUGGAAAUCAUGUUUGCCAUCAUGGGGGUCAAAAUAGCCUAAGGUUUGUCCUCUUGCUUAAUAUGAUUGGGAGGUUCACAUUGUCCAUACUAUAUGAUGUGGGAGGUUUGAGUCCCCCAUAUCAUACUAUAAUGCAUGAUUGGGUAGCCAAGUCACCUUAGUAUAUGAGUGGGAAGUUUGAGUCCCCCAUGCUUAUGCGUAAGAUUAUUCUCUGGUUUGUGCAGCUACAUAAAUUAGGGCCCGACUAGGGGGUAAGAAUGGGAGAAUAUAUAGCUGGUGGGUGUAACUGAUAUGAAUCUAAGCUUCAUAACCGAGGCUAAGAUUUCAAAGGUUUAUGUUAAAGCUUUUCCCUAUCCCCGCAUGAUAUAUAUGUGUGUCUGUGUAUUGCGUUAAGUUUAUGUAAUGGUUGACUUGAUUUGAACUAUUUGCAUUAACUUAUCCUUAUCCUUGAGUUACAUGCUACUAACCAUCUUUGAUGUUGUAUUCCCACGUGAUGCAGGUGUUUAUCAUACUACACCUCUUACUUAGUGAUUUGACUUAGGAUCAGCUUGUGUUGACUUGAAGUGAUGAGCUUCCAUACUUUGAAAGGCUCCAUUUCUAGUUUUUGUUUUAUUAUGUCUUUAUUAAUUUAGACUCGAACAUCGGUAUUGGCAAUGGUCGGGGGCAUAUCCUAACCGGAUGUUGUUUUGAUCUCAGAUAGCGGCUUAGUGAGACUACUUUGGGUUUGUAUCGGCGGUAUCGGUAGUCGUUUUAGCCUUGGCAUUGGUAUUGGUAUUGGUAUUGGGGAUGACACUGUAUAAUUGCAUUCAAUUUAUGAAUGUUCUAUUUAGUUAUAGUAUUGAUAUAGACUAAGUUAUUAUUUUGGUUAUGUUAUGGUUGAUUGGUUGGGAAUUGGAUGGUGAGGCUUGCUUGGGAUAGUCAUGGUCAUGGACCUAUCCCAAACUUCAUGUUUUGUUAAUCACUCUAUAUUGUUUUAUGUUUGGAAUUUAUCCGACUCAGGGAAUAUGUUGGUUGGUUGGAUUUGGUAGGCGUGAUCUCCGAUCCUUGUUGGGCUUGAGAUGUCCAUUACGUCAAGGCCCUGGUUCCUAUCUUGUUACUUAUCUAAGUGAAUAUCUACAUACUAUUUUUAUUUUUUUCUGAGACUAACACAUAUCCAUAUAGUUAAUAUGGUACCUAAGAUAAUCAAGUAGAUUUAAAAGGAAAUGUCAAAGAAGCGUGCACCCUAAAAUACACCUUAGGGAUCGAAGAGUGAGUUAGAGGAGUCUAGUGGUUUGGAGGUACAAUAACAUAAACGUGAAAGUAGAGAACAACUCACACCUCGAACCACUAGAUUAAGGGCUACUAAGGCUAAGACAACUACUUUCAUUACUUUGGUACUUGUAGCCACCCUCAUUAAACCUUCUUAGUCUGAAGAAAAAGGUUAAAAAUCUAAUCAAAAUUGAGAUGAGACCAAGCAUAUAGAGAUGAGGAUGAUGAGAUGAGUUCAUUUGAGGGGGAUGAGUCAAAGGAGGCUAUCAAUAGUGCUAAUUCUAUAGCCAUAGGUUAUUCUAAUACUAUUAAUCAUCAUCAAAGGGUUACAAACUCGAGGCGAUAGAGUAUGCUAAACUCCAAGGACUACUACAUUAGUAGGGUUUCCCUGAACGACAUAUGAAACAAGAAGAUAAGUUCAAACAAGAACCCUAAAUCUUGCUUGAGUCACUACAGAAGGUCCUAAAGUUGAUCUAGGUAUUCAAGAAGUAUGAGUUAGAGUGGGUGACUAGACCAUUCCAAAAAUACAGUCUAGAGAUAGUGUGUGAGUUUUAUGCCAACUGUAUGGUAAUGAUCAAGAAUAUGACUUCCUUCAAAAAAGAAAAAAAAUGAUAAAGCAUCCUCGCCUAGAUAGAAUGGUAAUGCAUGAUCAGAAGAUCGACAUAUCCAUCAAGGCUAUCUCUAAAGCCUUGUUUGGUAACAAUUUUAAGUUGGCUGAAGAGACUUUGUAGUAUGAUUUCUAGAAAGAAGAAUAGUUGGGCCACGAAAAAGGUUCCUUGACAAUCUUGAGAAAGUAAAACUUUUUGGAUUUGAAUAAAGAAAAUAUCCCAUAAAGAAAAUAAAGGCUUUAUCAAUGUGCAAAAAUUAUAGAAGAAAAGAAAAAGAGGAAAGUGGGAAAACCAAUAAAAAGCAAAGAGUACGAAAAAUAGUAAAGUGAAAAGAAGUGGCAAUAAGUGAAGCAUGAAAAGAGUACGAUGUAGAAGUUCAAUGAGGGUGUAGCCUCGUAUUCCUUAGUUGAUCUCCUACCCUACCCUAAACCUACAUUAAAAUCUCAACAAGCCCUUUAUGAUUCCCAACCAAGUGUAGUCAUUGUAGUAGUAAUUGAAAAUAGGGGCAAGCCUAUGGCAUGGUACUUGUUAACAUGGAAAAUUUCUUGAGAGAGUAAGUGGUUGCACUUAAAAUUUCUUGUUGCAUGAUUGGUAGCUAGGUGUGUUAUUUGUCCUUUCUUGUGAGGAGGCAUGUGAACUAGUUGAAGUGGGUAAUUUUGUCAUCUUCCGCACAUUGAGAUAAUCAGAAGUAUUUCAUGUUUGAAGUCAACAUGUGAGUCAUUUCUAGAGCAUUAGUAGUUGUUACAUGGUUUUUCCUCAAAGUCUAUUGCAUUCUUCACUAUUCCAUUUUAUGAUGAGGGAUGUUGUUAAAAUCAUAUUUGCCCAUAUGUAUAGAGCUUUUUGUGGUGGCAAUCUAAUUUGAGUCAUCAUGAUCAUUGGGUGAUAGAAUGAGUGAACACAUAGGAAAUUGUCUCAUAGUAAGAGGUAUAGUUGCUUGAGGACAAGCAAUGUCUUAAGUUGGGGGUGUUGAUGAGGGUAAGUUUACCACUCAGUUGCACUCGUUAUGCGUGCAUAUUACCUUAUUUUAAAUGAAUAAAUGAGACAAUAUCUAUGAAUAGAUGUACUAAUAUCCACUCAUUGCAGGCAUAAAGUUGAGGAGACCAAAAGAUAUGGAUUGGAGCUGAAAAUGAUAAAAAGGGAACAAGAAAGAGUGCAACUAAAGACCCAGACUACAUCAGCCUCAGUUACUGAAAUUGUGGUCAUCUGUCUGUAGUCAUGGUUAGUCGAGACGGUCAGAGCAACGUGGUCACUACACAUAACUACAGUUACAUGGUCGCGGUCAUGGACAACCGUGCGUGAUCGAGGUUAAGCGGGAAGGAUCCCAAGCGCAGAUCUGUAAAAGCACUUGGACGCAUCCAAGGCCAUAUUUAAGAUAAACCCCUUUGUUCCUUCGGAGAGCUUAGCUCAUAAGAUAUUUCAGAAUUAUAGACUUGAAGCCCUAAUCUUGGGCAAGUGCGUAAUUAACUUUGAAAGCUAAAUUCUUAUACUUUUUGCAAAAAAAGAAUGUUUUGGAUAAUCCUUAUGGUAUAUCUCUUCUUACUUUCUUCAUGAGUAUCUAAGUAAUUUAGUCUUGGAAUUAUGUUGAACUAGAGUGUAAUUGUUUGUGGGUAUUAUUGUGUUUGCAUGGAUUUUAGUUGUUGAGUAUGGAUUCCACCAUUGCUUGAGCUUAUGGGUUUGAAUUUGAUGGGUGAAAACCCUAAUAUCUCUAAUUGGGUUUGAUAGGUGAAAGCUCCAAACUAUAGAAACCCUUUAUAAUUCUCAAAAGAGGGAUGAAGGUGAACAUUAGGUAACCCAUAACAUUCUCAAAAGAGGGCUAUAGAGGGACAAAGCAGUGGUGAACAAUUGAUCCUAUGUUUUAAUACCUUUUUCAAUCUUAGAAAUAAGUAUAAUAGGAGUGUAAAUAUUGUCUUGAGCAUCAUCCUAGAAAUAGGGAUGCUUGAUUGAUGUCUUGGGUGAUUAUAAAAAUGUGUACACUUAUUAGGUGCUCGAAAGAGCCUACGGGUUAAAUCGUUGCGAUUUUGUUGAAAGAUUGACCCUAAUGAACUUUGACCUAGCCUAUUCUUUAUUCAACAACUUAAUUUCAUGAUGAACCAAUAUCAACCCACAUGCAUUACCUCUAGGUAGACAUAA
rnacentral:lncRNA from 1 species